AACACAUGCAAGUCGAGGGGAAACGAUAUUGGAAGCUUGCUUCUGAUAGGCGUCGACCGGCGCACGGGUGAGUAACGCGUAUCCAACCUGCCCAUCACUUGGGGAUAACCUUGUGAAAGUAAGACUAAUACCCAAUGACGUCUCUAGAAGACAUCUGAAAGAGAUUAAAGAUUUAUCGGUGAUGGAUGGGGAUGCGUCUGAUUAGCUUGUUGGCGGGUAACGGCCCACCAAGGCGACGAUCAGUAGGGGUUCUGAGAGGAAGGUCCCCCACAUUGGAACUGAGACACGGUCCAAACUCCUACGGGAGGCAGCAGUGAGGAAUAUUGGUCAAUGGACGAGAGUCUGAACCAGCCAAGUAGCGUGCAGGAUGACGGCCCUAUGGGUUGUAAACUGCUUUUAUAAGGGAAUAAAGUGAGUCUCGUGAGACUUUUUGCAUGUACCUUAUGAAUAAGGACCGGCUAAUUCCGUG
rnacentral:rRNA from 1 species